rnacentral:misc_RNA from 1 species
AACCUAGCACACCUGCGGUGUGUACCUGCGGAAGGAUCAUUAACGAGUUACCACUCUAUAACCCUUUGUGAACAUACCUACAUGUUGCUUCGGCGGUCGGCCCCCCCGGGCCCCCGGCCCCGCUCACGCGGGGCGUCCGCCGGAGGAUAACCAAACUCUGAUUUAACGACGUUUCUUCUGAGUGGCACAAGCAAAUAAUCAAAACUUUAACAAUGGAUCU